UCCUACUCCAUCUCACCCAGGACGUGAAUCAUCCCGUUGUCUGGCAUGUCCAUGCUGUCUGCGCUACUCACCCAUGAGUCACAUAGGAGCCGUCUUGGUUAUUAGAUUGACUGUCAUUUGUUUUGCAGUGCUUGUGUUCAAGUGACCCUUAUUUUACUGAACAGUGGCUCCAAAGAACAAAAGUAGUGAUGCUGGCCAUUUGAACAUGCCUAGGAGAAGCUGGGAAGUGCUUUCGUUAAGUGAAAAGGGAAGAAGGAGAGAGAAAAAAACCAGUGCCUAGUGAUGACGCCAAGUCAAGGUAAAACCUGGCCAAGGGUGGACCUGGCUCCAGUGUCUCUUCCAGUUCUCCUUCACCCUGGGGAUUACUCAUUUAUCUCUAUGAAUGCAGAUUUAUGGACCUAUAAAUGAAUAUAUGUGUUAGGGCCACCAUUGCUUGUUGUAACUCCACAAAGCAUGUUGACCACAAAACCUAUUGAGGGCCAUAGGGGCCCAGCCUGCAACGCAGCCCAUCUGCUCCCUGCAUCCUCAUCCACCGCCUUCCUUACCACCGCCCACCCACAUGCCAGCACUGCCGCGCGGCCUCUGCUCCGGCCGUCCCUUGGCCUACACUGCCUUUUCCUAAUCUUUCCCAAGUUGACUCCUAACACCUUUUAAGACUGCCUAGAAUCACCGGGAAGGCUUCGCUGGCCCACCCCUGCCCGCCCAGCUUCCCCAGGCUGGGGGAAGUCCUUCUUCUGGGGGCUUCCGUGUGCACCUCUGUGCCUCCACGUCCCUCCUCACACGGUGACUUUCCGAUGAUGCGCCUGCCUCCCCUGUCCAUGGAUAAUGAAUUCACCCAGGACAGGGCUUUGUCUUUUUCAUUCCUGAAUCCGAAGCUUACCUGCUACUAGAGAAUUUGUGAAUUUCCGUUGAACACGUGGAAGACCUAGGAAGCUGUGGGGGAGAAAGAAUGAAUGACUUUCUUCAAGGCCUCCUGGCAAAGCAGCAGUGCAGCGGGAACCGGAGCCGGAGGACGCUGGCUCCUCACCUAGAGCCCUCCCUUGGGUCAGGGUGGCUCUUCUCUCCCAUACCUAGCGUCCGGCGCUUGGCUUUGUUUCCCGGAGUGGGUGGCACUGUUUGGCCGCCACAGGCACAGCAUCGCCCCUAGGCAUCGCCCUCCGCACCCG
rnacentral:lncRNA from 1 species